UCUUAUGGAUGAGCAAAGAAAGUAGUUUCUUGAUGUGGAAUCCACUCCUGAUGAAGAUUCUGUGAA
rnacentral:pre_miRNA from 3 species